GUUUAUGGCCAUACCAACCCGAAUGUGCCCAAUCUCAUCUGAUCUCAGAAGCAAAGCAGGGUCAGGAGUGGUAGGCUUUAAAAA
ensembl:rRNA 5S_rRNA 5S ribosomal RNA